UACGUAGGGAGCAAGCGUUGUUCGGAUUUACUGGGCGUAAAGGGCGCGUAGGCGGCAAAUUAAGUCAGCUGUGAAAUCUCCGAGCUUAACCCGGAACGGUCAGAUGAUACUGCUUUGCUAGAGUGCGGAAGGGGCAAUCGGAAUUCUUGGUGUAGCGGUGAAAUGCGUAGAUAUCAAGAGGAACACCUGAGGUGAAGACGGGUUGCUGGGCCGACACUGACGCUGAUAGCGCGAAAGCCAGGGGAGCAAACGGG
rnacentral:rRNA from 1 species